rnacentral:rRNA from 1 species
AACGAGAAAGCCCGCAAGGAUGAGUAAAGUGGCGUACGGGUGAGUAACACGUGGGUAAUCUACCUUCUGGUGGGGAAUAACCCUGGGAAACCGGGGCUAAUACCGCAUAAGUCCGGGAGGAGUAAGCAGCAAUGCGCCGGAAGAGGAGCCCGCGGCCGAUUAGCUAGUUGGUAGGGUAACGGCCUACCAAGGCUAUGAUCGGUAGCCGGCCUGAGAGGGCACACGGCCACACUGGCACUGAAACACGGGCCAGACUCCUACGGGAGGCAGCAGUGGGGAAUCUUGCACAAUGGGGGAAACCCCGAUGCAGCGACGCCGCGUGAGCGAUGAAGCCCUUCGGGGUGUAAAGCUCUUUCGGCAGGAACGAUAAUGACGGUACCUGCAGAAGAAGCUGCGGCUAACUACGUGCCAGCAGCCGCGGUAAUACGUAGGCAGCAAGCGUUGUUCGGAGUUACUGGGCGUAAAGAGUGUGUAGGCGGUUGUCUAAGUUUGGUGUGAAAUCUCCCGGCUCAACUGGGAGGGUGCGCCGAAAACUGGAUGGCUGGAGUAUGGGAGAGGAAAGCGGAAUUCCUGGUGUAGCGGUGAAAUGCGUAGAUAUCAGGAGGAACACCUGCGGUGUAGACGGCUUUCUGGACCAUCACUGACGCUGAGACACGAAAGCGUGGGUAGCAAACAGGAUUAGAUACCCUGGUAGUCCACGCCCUAAACGAUGCACAUUUGGUGUGGGUCAUUCAGUUGAUCUGUGCCGGAGCUAACGCGUUAAAUGUGCCGCCUGGGGAGUACGGUCGCAAGGCUGAAACUCGAAGGAAUUGACGGGGGCCCGCACAAGCGGUGGAGCAUGUGGUUCAAUUCGACGCAACGCGAAGAACCUUACCUGGGCUCGAACGGCUGCCGAUGGCUCGUGGAAACAUGGGCUUUCCCGCAAGGGACGCGCAGUCGAGGUGCUGCAUGGCUGUCGUCAGCUCGUGUCAUGAGAUGUUGGGUUAAGUCCCGCAACGAGCGCAACCCUUGUCCUGUGUUGCCAUGCC